rnacentral:rRNA from 1 species
AGAGUUUGAUCAUGGCUCAGAGUGAACGCUGGCGGCGUGCCUAACACAUGCAAGUCGAACGAGAACGGAUUACAGCUUGCUGUAAUUGUCAGCUAAGUGGCGCACGGGUGAGUAAUAUAUAGUUAAUCUGCCCCAAAGAAGAGAAUAAUUGUUGGAAACGACUUGUAAUGCUCUAUAUGCCUUUAUCACAUAAGUGAGCAAGGGAAAUAUUUAUAGCUUUGGGAUGAGACUGUACGGUAUCAGCUAGUUGGUGAGGUAAUGGCUCACCAAGGCUAUGACAUCUAACUGGUUUGAGAGGAUGAUCAGUCACACUGGAACUGAGACACGGUCCAGACUCCUACGGGAGGCAGCAGUGGGGAAUAUUGCACAAUGGAGGAAACUCUGAUGCAGCAACGCCGCGUGGAGGAUGACACAUUUCGGUGCGUAAACUCCUUUUAUUAGGGAAGAUAAUGACGGUACCUAAUGAAUAAGCACCGGCUAACUCCGUGCCAGCAGCCGCGGUAAUACGGGGGGUGCAAGCGUUACUCGGAAUCACUGGGCGUAAAGAGCAUGUAGGCUGGAGAUUAAGUUGGAAGUGAAAUCCUAUGGCUCAA